UACGUAGGGUGCAAGCGUUAUCCGGAUUUACUGGGCGUAAAGCGUCCGUAGGCGGUAUGGUAAGUGGUGGGUUAAAGACUCUGGCUCAACUAGAGGAAAGCUCGCCAAACUGCCAAACUAGAGCUAGUUCGGGGAUACUGGAAUUCUCGGUGGAGGGGUGAAAUCCGUUGAUAUCGAGAAGAACGCCAAAGACGAAGGUAAGUAUCUAGAACUAUGCUGACGCUCAGGGACGAAAGCUAGGGUAGCAAACUGGAUUAGAGACCCAGGUAGUCCUAGCCGUAAACUAUGAACACUAGCUGGUUGGAUGAAUUUCUGACCGGCGCAAGCUAACGCGUUAAGUGUUCCGCCUGGGGAGUACGGCCGCAAGGCUAAAACUCAAAGGAAUUGACGGGGAAACGCACAACCGGCGUCCCAUGUGGUUUAAUUCGAAACGAAACGAAGAACCUUACCUAGGUUUGACAUCCCGAUCGUACGUCUUGGAAACAAGAUGGUCAGUUCGGCUGGAUCGGUGACAGCUGCUGCAUGGUU
rnacentral:rRNA from 1 species